UCUGUCAUAGGAUUCCCUGAAGCACAGAAUGAGGAGGAGACUGAGCAAACACGCCCCGGGAAGGCACCAGUUGAACCAAGACAACUCUAAAAAAUAUCAAUCCAUACUCCAAGGUGCCACGAUUCGCCUCUAUGUUUCUGCUGGUUCUCGAUCACCUCCUGUUCCACAGCCUGAGGACUCUGCCAAAUCACAGUGAGACGGGCUGAACUGCACUCCAGGCUCUGCACCAAAAGCACACAAUGCAGCUUCAAAUUCAUGGUCAGCUACUUCAAAAUGAAAGGACCGAGUGACCUUGAAAAACCCAAGUUUGAAAAACUCCAAGAAAUCUCUGACAGGGUCCCAGAUUCCCAAAGGUGAAUCAGAACAGGUAACGGGAAACUCUGCGGCUCAGGGCUCCAAAUAAGCCAGUGGCGCUGGUAUAGAAGCCUGUGUGACAUUUGUCAUCAAUGAUGGCAGUGGCCAUAAUCUGCAAGCAAAUCACCAGUGGAGCCUAUCUUGCCAGACAGGGCACAUGAGCCUGGUCAUCUUGGGGUGAGUCUGUACAGCCCUGAAAAACCAUAUCUGAUGUAGUCAUCUCCCAGACAGCACAUGGUGGGGAAAUAAGAAAUCUAGUCAGGAAGUUUAGUACUUCCUUGAGAAAAGCCCACAGAUCUUUAAGAUGAUUAAAAAUUGAGCUCUUGAGGAGUUCCCACUGUGGCUCAGCAGUAACGAACCCGAUUGGUAUCCAUGAAGAUGCAGGUUCAAACCCUGGCCUUACUCAGUGGGUUAAGAAUCUGGUGUUACCACAAGCUGUGGUGUAGGUUGGCAGCUGUAGCUCUGUCUGAUUCGACCCCUGGCCUAGGAACGUCCAUGGGCUGUGGGUGUGACCCUAAAAAGACAAAUAAAUAAAUAGAAGCCUAGGUGUUUGCAUUUCUAACAUUAACAGCUAAUUAUCCAAAAGGAAACAAAACAUUUGGUGAGUGCCCUGGUCUAGGCUCUUUCACGUCCAUCUACUCAUUAACUCUAAAAUGUCAGAACAUACUGGCAAUUUUUUUUUUCCUGAAAAUCAUCCUGUUUAAGAUUAUUUUUUUAUUUUUCACAGUACUUAUGGAAUUUAGGCAGAAACCUUUAACAUCUAUAAAGUUAUGUAUAAGAACAUGUGAUUAGAAACCAACCCAGAAGCUAAACCCCAAAGAUUCCCAGCUAGAUAAAUUAUCGAUUGUAUCAGGGCGAUAGAAUUAAUAGAAGUGGUGUCUGUCGUCUCUUCUGCUGCCUGUGCCAAAGAAACAAAAACGUCUGCUUGUAUCUGGUCACUCUGAAUCCGCAAAAUGAAGUGUGGCCACUGACGUACAGUUGAACAAACUGAAGCUGCUGCAGGACCCAGGAGUGUGACAGAAACACUGUGCUGGCUGAGCUCAGUGGUUGGAGGGCACUGGGUUCCUCCAGAGUCAUAGGGCACAGGAGAAGUCCCUGCCUUAAACUGAUGAACAGAUACCUGCUUGUUAUGGUCUAGAGACCACGUGCAAAGGUGUAUUGGGGGAUAACAUGAUCUGCCCUCUACUGCUGUUGGCUUUAAAUGCUGGGAACACAAAACAAUUUCCAUUCGAUGGGAGCAAAACAUGCUCAGCCAGGCUGCAAGGACCACUCAGCCCCGCUGUGACCAUGAGCUGGAAAACUGUUUCUACCCCCGCUAAGGGCAACAGCCAUCUCUGAUACUUUAUGGGGCAAAAGAGAGGUGCUGAGCCUCCGAAGUUCAACUGUGACACAGCUGAAGUGCAUUCAAGCUGAUAAUGUAAUAGCUGUUAGAUGACUUUGUUUAGAAAACUAACUGGAGGCAAAGACCUCACUCUGACACCCGGUGAUGGCAUUUUCUUUAACGGCAACAGAUGUUUCCAGAAGGACAGUGAAGAGUGGUCUGACUUCAUUAAUAUCACUCUCCUUCGACUAUAUCAUCCUCUUUCAUAUGAUAAACCAAACGUCUAUCAGGUUUAGCAAAGUUGAAACCUUCUUUGCCUGCAUUACUGAUCCAUAGAAAUAAUCUAGUUUGUUGCUCUAAUUACUAAGAAAUUAAAAUACUGUUUGGAUGCUCUUUGCUGUUAGGCCAAAGCGCUAUGCCGAGAGCUGCCCAAAACUCGGGGAGAUUGUUUCAUUAGCUUUGAAAGUUUCUAAAAUUUAUUUCCCAGUUAGGGUUAUUAUGGACAUUAUUUCAAUUAUAAGCCUGUCAGAAUUCCUCAAAAACAAUUAGGUCUCCUGGAGUGUCACAUUUUAGAGCAUUGUUAAAUAUAUUUGAAUCUUACGAAUUAGAUUCUUUCAUGUAAUUAUCCAAAUUUACUGAUAUUUGAUGAGUAGUUAAGAAAAAAAUAACCAGAGGGGGAGGGAAAGGUAGUAAUAUUCAAUUGUUUAAGACAAGGGUAUAAAAUGGAAUACAAACCUAGUAGAAAUUAAUAAAAGCUUUAUAAAGACUCAAGUAUAAAAAAUUAAAAAUACAAUAUAAAAUAUGUAUGAAUCCUUAUUUUAAUGCACAAAAAGAAGCCUCAAUAACUGUGCCCCAAUUUUCUAAAACAGACUUUGGACCACAGAAAAGAGAAUUAUGAGAGAAAACCAAACAACGGCACAGCAGAGCCACUACAAACCCGCAGACCCGCGAUACCAGCGGAAUCGGCCUUCGCCGUGCCCGGCAAUCUUUGCAGCAGACCCUGCAUCUCUUCCACACCCUCGAAGGCUGCUUUAAAGUUUCAUCCCCUCCUUAAGCCCUUUCUCCACUGUCUCUCUGCCAACUCUUCAUGGAUGAACUGGCUUCUAAGCUGAAGGUUGGUGCCCUCAGGAAGGAACUUCCCCAACAAUGCAUGUGGCGGAGGCCUCUCCUUCUGUGCCCAGGGACACUGCCUUCUGUCCACCUCCUUUCAUCCAAGGCUAACUCCUCCAAUGGAGCUCAGCACCCUAACCCUUUCUCUUUCGUAAGGACCUCCCUCUUCUUCAGAGGUUCUAACUGGAUUCUCACCUCAACCUUCACUUUACUCUAAACCUGCCCUGAUCAAUUCGGUAGCCACGAGCCACAUGUAGCAGUGUAAACGUAAACUUAAAUAAAAUGAAGUAAAAUUAGAAAGCCAGUUCCUGAGUUGUACUAGCUUCCUGGGGCAAGUGGCUACUGUGUCGGACAGUGCAAAGUGCAUCUCCACUGCCUGUCCUUUAUACGUGAUCCACUCCUUGGAUGACCUCUUAUUCAUCCCCAAAGCUUUAAACCACAUGUAUACCCCUGACCUUAAUUUCUCCCUUACAUAAAGACAGUAGAGUCUAAGUAUUUUUUUUUUCUUUUUUUUUUAGAGCUGCACCCAAGGCAUAUGGAGGUUCCCAGGCUAGGGGUCUAAUUGGAGCUGAAGUUGCCGGCCUUCGCCACAGCCACAGCAACUUGG